AUGGCAAAGGACUCAGGAGGACACCCGAGGAAUCACUUGCUUGGAUUGGAAGCUGCCAGAGUGUCAGGUGAACAUCACCCGUAUUCCCCAACGCCGAAGUCCAAGUUACAAAGCCUGGGACAUCGAGGCCUCCCCUCCCAAGCUUGCUCUGGAUCUGGAGGGGCUAGCUCUGAACUAGAGAAGGGCCUGCCACACUCUCCCCGUCCUGUUCCUCUACGCACAGAGCAUGUUUCACUCUUCCGGUGCCUUGGUCAAAAGCAGGGCCCAUCUCAGGACUGUCCAGCAACCCUGAGGUCUGCAGGUCCCACCCUCCUCCAAGCUGCCAGUGUCUGCCUGGGGCCAGGUCACCACCGCCUGCCCGAGAGGGACCCAGAAGGGAGAGCUUGGCCGGGUCCACCACUCACCCUGUGGGCCUCAGAAGCUCCAGAGCCCCAAGUCAGACAGUCUCCUGGGAGCGUGCUGAAUCGGGGUUUGUAACUGAUUGUUUGUUUGUUUUGUUUUUUGUAUUUUGUUUUUUCAGAUGAAGUCUGGCUCUGUCUCCCAGGCCAGAGUACAGUGGCGUGAUCUCAGCUCACUGCAACCUCUGCCUCCCGGGUUCAAGCGAUUCUCCUGCCUCAGCCUCCCGAGUAGCUGGGACUACAGGUGCAUGUCACCACGCCCAGCUAAGUUUUGUAUUUUUAGUAGAGCUGGGGGUUCAUCAUGUUGGCCAGGAUGGUCUCGAUCUCUUGACCUUGUGAUCUACCUGCCUCUGCCUCCCAAAGUGCUGAGAUUACAGGCAUGAGCCACCGCACCAGGCCGUAAUUGUCUUCAUUGUGACUUAAACUUCAAGCUUUUAAUCCCAUGGUCCCUGUAACAGGAUGUCUGUGGCAAGGAUGCUGCCCUCUGCCCCCUACAAACUCUAGAGCACCGUGAGGCCCCCACCUGCUUCCAUGUGAGAGGAGCCGCAGCUGGAGGAGACCAGCUGAGAAACGUCCCAUUUUAGGAUUUUAUGCACCUUUUGAAGUU
rnacentral:lncRNA from 1 species